GUGCCCACAUAAGCAGCAUACAUACUAAAACUGUAACAAUACAGAGAAGUUAGCAGGGUCUCUGCUCAGGGGUGACGUACAAAUGUCCAGAGCAAUCUGCAUUUUAA
ensembl:snRNA U6 U6 spliceosomal RNA